GACGAGCGCUGGCGGCGUGCUUAACACAUGCAAGUCGAACGAUGAAGCCGGAGCUUGCUCUGGUGAAUUAGUGGCGAACGGGUGAGUAACACGUGAGUAACCUGCCCUUGACUCUGGGAUAACUGCUAGAAAUGGUAGCUAAUACCGGAUACGACCCUCGGCGGCAUCGCCAGGGGGUGGAAAGAAUUUCGGUCAAGGAUGGACUCGCGGCCUAUCAGCUAGUUGGUGAGGUAACGGCUCACCAAGGCGACGACGGGUAGCCGGCCUGAGAGGGUGACCGGCCACACUGGGACUGAGACACGGCCCAGACGCCUACGGGAGGCAGCAGUGGGGAAUAUUGCACAAUGGGCGCAAGCCUGAUGCAGCAACGCCGCGUGAGGGAUGACGGCCUUCGGGUUGUAAACCUCUUUUAGUAGGGAAGAAGCGAAAGUGACGGUACCUGCAGAAAAAGCACCGGCUAACUACGUGCCAGCCGCCGCGGUAA
rnacentral:rRNA from 1 species